rnacentral:rRNA from 1 species
UACAGAGGGUGCAAGCGUUGUUCGGAAUUAUUGGGCGUAAAGAGCGCGCAGGCGGUCGUUCAAGUCGGAUGUGAAAGCCCCCGGCUCAACUGGGGAGGGUCAUUCGAUACUGAUCGACUUGAAGGCAGGAGAGGGAAGCGGAAUUCCCGGUGUAGUGGUGAAAUGCGUAGAUAUCGGGAGGAACACCAGUGGCGAAGGCGACUACCUGGCCUGUUCUUGACGCUGAGGCGCGAAAGCUAGGGGAGCAAACGGG